UACGGAGGGAGCUAGCGUUGUUCGGAAUUACUGGGCGUAAAGCGCGCGUAGGCGGCUUUGUAAGUUAGAGGUGAAAGCCCGGAGCUCAACUCCGGAACUGCCUUUAAAAACUGCAUCGCUUGAAUCCAGGAGAGGUGAGUGGAAUUCCGAGUGUAGAGGUGAAAUUCGUAGAUAUUCGGAAGAACACCAGUGGCGAAGGCGGCUCACUGGACUGGUAUUGACGCUGAGGUGCGAAAGCGUGGGGAGCAAACAGG
rnacentral:rRNA from 1 species